GAUGAAGAACGCAGCGAAAUGCGAUACUUGGUGUGAAUUGCAGAAUCCCGUGAACCAUCGAGUCUUUGAACGCAAGUUGCGCCCGAAGCCACUAGGCCGAGGGCACGCCUGCCUGGGCGUCACACGCCGUUGCCCCCCCAUCUACUCCUUCGGGAUUGCGGGGGGGCGGAUGAUGGCCUCCUGUGCGCCUAGCCGCGCGGUUGGCAUAAAUACCAAGUCCUCGGCGACGCACGCCACGACAAUCAGUGGUUGCGAAACCUCGGUUGCCCGUCGUGUGCGUUCGUCGCGCAUCGAGGGCUCGAAAAAAUGCUCGGCUCCGGCUGGGCUUUCAACGCGACCCCAGGUCAGGCGGGGUUACCCGCUGAAUUUAAGCAUAUCAAUAAGCGGAGGA
rnacentral:misc_RNA from 1 species